GAUGAACGCUGGCGGCGUGCCUAAUACAUGCAAGUCGAGCGAACAGACGAGGAGCUUGCCCCUCUGACUUUAGCGGCGGACGGGUGAGUAACACGUGGAUAACCUACCUAUAAGACUGGGAUAACUUCGGGAAACCGGAGCUAAUACCGGAUAAUAUAUUGAACCGCAUGGUUCAAUAGUGAAAAACGGUUUUGCUGUCACUUAUAGAUGGAUCCGCGCCGCAUUAGCUAGUUGGUAAGUUAACGGCUUACCAAGGCGACGAUGCGUAGCCGACCUGAGAGGGUGAUCGGCCACACUGGAACUGAGACACGGUCCAGACUCCUACGGGAGGCAGCAGUAGGGAAUCUUCCGCAAUGGGCGAAAGCCUGACGGAGCAACGCCGCGUGAGUGAUGAAGGUCUUCGGAUCGUAAAACUCUGUUAUUAGGGAAGAACAAAUGUGUAAGUAACUAUGCACGUCUUGACGGUACCUAAUCAGAAAGCCACGGCUAACUACGUG
rnacentral:rRNA from 1 species